UGCUGUUCGUGUGAUCGAGUCCCUGGGUUGCUUCCUGGGGUCUGUGGUGCUGGGUGUGCUAUCUGCGUGUGCUUCUCUAGCGAGAGAUUGUGGGCGAGUGACCGAGUGGGCAAGGGGCCGUCACUGUGUGUGCGUGAUUGUGACGGUGUGUGGUGGUAGCUUCUGACUCCGCGUGGGUCGUUGAAUGUGUGACUGGGACCGUUUAGCGGUGGAUACACAACUGUGUGCGGCUGUGGAAGAUUGACUCAUCCGUUACGUUCCCAUUUCCGUGGAACAACAGUUUUACCAGAAGGUUUCGAAGGAACCUUAAAGUUUGGAAGCGUAACAGUUUAUCUGGUAACUAAUUUUAAACAUUACAUCUAUGGUGAGUUAAAUGUGGGUUAUGAAGGAGAACGCAAAAUAAAAACGUUAUGAAGAUGUAAAGGAGUUUUAUGGGGCGGCAUCUCUUGGGCAAAUAUCAGACCGCCAUAGGUAGUUGUUAAUUCUGUCGUUUUCAGGCGGCUUUGGAGUCAUCAAAUGUGAGAAGCCCUGGACUUUACACAUCCCGAGCCAGUGUGAUCCAGUAUGAUUGGGAGUCCGAGUGCCAGAUGCCGGUCGGGACCUGUUAUGCUGGGUCUCAGAAUGCGGAAACUCUCCCUGUCCGAGGUGGAACAGUUUGUCCUUGAGUGAGGACCGGAGUCCUGAGUGACUCUUGAUUUGAUCCUGUUUCCCUCAAACCUGAGAUGGGAGCCUCACUGUAUUGCCCAGGCUGGUCUUGAACUCCGGAGCUCAAGUGAUCGUCUUGCUUCAGCCUUCCAAAAUGAUGGUGAAGCUGCAUCAUUGUCUGGGGUAAAUACCUGAGGUUCGUUGUCUCACGCCAAGGGAAUCAAGGACGUGGACACACAAGAAAUGGGGUACCUAUCUGACCAGGCCAUGUUGUAUGUUCCUUACUGUACACGUGGUUGACAAAGAAAAGGGAAGAUGGAGCUGCGAUGUUGGACAUGCCUGGCCCCCAGGACAUACAGCCCUGCCGAGCAAACAAUGAACGUAACUCACAAACUUCCUGCUUAUCAUCAAACGCACGCAUCCACUUAUCAUCAAACACCUCGGGUGACAGAAGAAUGCAGGUCAGCUCCCUGCUGCCUUGGCAUUAUCAAUCAGCCCAGGAACCAUCCUAUAAAAUCUCCAGCAAGCCUUUGUUUCUUGCAGUCAGCUCCUCUUCCACUGAUUCUGCCUGUUGCUCCCUGAUAACCUACUUUGAUACUGUCUUUAAUAAAUCUGCUUUUCUUC
rnacentral:lncRNA from 1 species